GAUUACCUUAACUAACGCAAAACUUCACAAUCUUUCACUGAGGAAAAAAGUGAGUUUGUGGGCACUGGAUAAUCAUGUUCUUGUAUAUUAACCUCUCACGUCCGCUGCAAACAAGUCUUAGAGUCAUUCUUAUACAUUGACCAUAAGGCAAUGAGAGGUCCAUUCUAUCUAAAUUUCCCUAUAAAGUUGUUUGUCCUGCGCUGAAUUAUUCCAAAGGGAUAAGAACAGUACAGUAACUGAACAAACGUCUCAGUGCUGAUGUGUGACGUGACAUCUAAAAUUUAAUCUGGUUUUGACUUGUGCUUCGAUUCGGCUCACAACAUUUGGGGAACUUUGUAAUAUAUCAGGAAAUACUUUCAUUUGCUCAUGGCUUUGAGCUAGAAAAUUACCAGCAUUGUAGCACGAUGGUAGUGCUAAAACUCUUCUUCUUUGAUUAAGGAAAGGUUCAGAGAGGAAGGUGCAAUUCCAAUGAGAAGAACGCAGCUGUGAAAAGGCAGCAUCUACACAGUCCUGUAACUACACUCAGGUGCACCACCUGAGUACCCGGCCUCUCAAUUCUGUUCCCAAGCCAGAUUUCCUUUAGUUUCCUCCCACCAAGCCCAGACAGCUUAAUAGAGAAAUCAUUUUUAUUGGCUCUAUAGUGAGGCUUUUUACUUUCUUUCUUAGCUUACACAGUUUAUUUACAAUUCACAUCUUAGGUGCUUAUGCCUGAAUGUCUUCACUUUUUCUGUCCAAUAAUUUCUGUGUUUCAGAUGAAUUCACCUUUGAAGAAUACAAUGCCCCUUGCAGUGCUGAAUCUCAGCAAGGAAAUGCUUGAAAACAGGAGCUUAUGGACCUCAUCAGAUGAACUUCUUCAGAAAUGAAGAACAGACUUACCGAGAGAGGACAGUAAGAGAAAGAAGGGAAGAUCAUUGGAAAUACAUAAAAUUUGUAUGUUGAAUAAAUUUAUGGCAUUUAUAACUC